AUUGAACGCUGGCGGCAGGCCUAACACAUGCAAGUCGAACGAGUGGCGGACGUGUGAGUAAUGUCUGGGAAACUGCCUGAUGGAGGGGGAUAACUACUGGAAACGGUAGCUAAUACCGCAUACCAUCAGAUUUGCCCAGAUGGGAUUAGCUAGUUGGUGGGGUAACGGCUCACCAAGGAUACGAUCCCUAGCUGGUCUGAGAGGAUGACCAGCCAAACUGGAACUGAGACACGGUCGGGAACACUACGGGAGGCAGCAGGGGGGAAUAUUGCAAAAUGGGCGCAAGCCUGAGGCAGCCAUGCCGCGUGUAUGAAGAAGGCCUUAGGGUUGUAAAGUACUUUCAGCGGGGAGGCGUUACCCGCAGAAGAAGCACCGGCUAACUCCGUGCCAGCAGCCGCGGUAAUUC
rnacentral:rRNA from 1 species